UACGGAGGGAGCUAGCGUUGUUCGGAUAUAUUGGGCGUAAAGCGCACGUAGGCGGCGCCGUAAGUCAGGGAUGAAAUCCCGGAGCUCAACUCCGGAACUGCCCUUGAAACUGCAGUGCUAGAAUCUUGGAGAGGCGAGUGGAAUUCCGAGUGUAGAGGUGAAAUUCGUAGAUAUUCGGAAGAACACCAGUGGCGAAGGCGACUCGCUGGACAAGUAUUGACGCUGAGGUGCGAAAGCGUGGGGAGCAGACAGG
rnacentral:rRNA from 1 species